rnacentral:tRNA from 1 species
GGUGCUGUGGCGGAGCGGCUACGCAAACGAUUGCAAAUCGUUUUCACAAGGGUUCAAAUCCCUUCGGCACCUCCA